GGUGGUGUGGUGUAAUGGUAGCACGUGACGUUGUGGUAAACACGAAAAGCCCGUUUCAAUCUGGGUUCGAUUCCCAGCACCGCCA
rnacentral:tRNA from 1 species